rnacentral:rRNA from 1 species
GAUGAACGCUGGCGGCGUGCUUAACACAUGCAAGUCGAACGGGAAACCUUUUAUUGAAGCUUCGGCAGAUUUAGAUUGUUUCUAGUGGCGGACGGGUGAGUAACGCGUGGGUAACCUGCCUUAUACAGGGGGAUAACAGUCAGAAAUGACUGCUAAUACCGCAUAAGCGCACAGAGCUGCAUGGCUCGGUGUGAAAAACUCCGGUGGUAUAAGAUGGACCCGCGUUGGAUUAGCUAGUUGGUGAGGUAACGGCCCACCAAGGCGACGAUCCAUAGCCGGCCUGAGAGGGUGAACGGCCACAUUGGGACUGAGACACGGCCCAGACUCCUACGGGAGGCAGCAGUGGGGAAUAUUGCACAAUGGGGGAAACCCUGAUGCAGCGACGCCGCGUGAAGGAAGAAGUAUCUCGGUAUGUAAACUUCUAUCAGCAGGGAAGAAA